UAUUAAAAUAUACGUAAAAGUAGCAAUGGUCCAUUAAUUAGCUUAAUCAAUCCCAAGAUUAUUCCCCACUCAUUGUUCCUAAAUUAUACCCACAUACAACAGACCUAUACACAUUUAUUUUUAUUUUUUUGCUUUUCUAAGGUUUUUAGGUUCUGCCUAUGAGCGUAAAAAUGUGUAAAAGGAACAAUUCUGUCCGAACCAGUAACGUCGUAUGUAAACAAUGCACGCGUCAUUGAGCCAAUGAUUGACGCCGUGUGCUGUGACGGCACGUAUUGAAGACAGUCAUCUUUUACAGAGAUAUUAGAAUACUUUCGUAAUCCUCUGUGAAACAGAUUACAGUGUUACUAUGUAACUAUGUAUAAAUUGAUGUAUAUUGUCCAUGUCUAUACAAUGACAUUUUUCUAAAGACCUCCCAGGUUACCUAAAAGUACUUUAAAAAUCAAACCAGUGUUGAACUCAGUUUGUGCCGGCAUACCAUUUAUCUGUUCGUCGUUUUCCGUGAAACAAAGUAGUGCAGCGUUACGGUUUCUCCGAUGUAAAAGUGCUGACAACCAUUAAAAGUCAAGGAAUUUGAGUGUUGGAUAACGUUACGCACUACUUUUAACAUGUAGUGCAAGAAUAAACCCAGAAUAUGCAAUUGUGGAUGGAUAUGCCGCUUUACAUAUAUACAUUACUCUAUCAUCCAGACUUGUACGUUGAAGACUUUGGGUAUCUGGGUAACCGAGACUAGUUAAAGCCCUAUUAGAAAUCUAUAUUCUAUUGAACUGUAUUUCGCAAUGCUUUUAUCGUCAUGGGUAACGUAUACAACAACAGCUGAGAAGAUGAAUGAUAACUUAUUUUUCUUAUGCAAUGAAAUCGUGCCCUCAAUAUAAAUAACAACGUUCUAUUUGAUGUGGAGAUUAGUCAAUGAAAUGCUCUGUUUAGUCUAGCGCUUUGCGCAAGCUGUGUACGGAUUUCUGGACGUCACCGAUGACAAAGCCGAAAACAAAACGAAAUGUAAAUAGUUAACGUCAUUCUGUCUUAGUUCUUAUUUUAAAAAAAUUACGCCUGCUCUGAACACUCACAAGAAACGACUUAGAUUUGCAGCUGUAAUUUUAGAUUUGCAUGUGUAAUUUUAAUCCAGGACUAUUCUAUAUACACACUGGGUGUUGGCUUAGAUCAUAUUACUUACAAUACCCGUAGACAAUAUAAUACCAAGUAUAGUUUGAAUUAAAGAAGAGUGUACGGUAAAGGUGUAUUGACGUGAAUAGUAAAAUUCAAUAAAAUGAUACAGGAUAUUAUAGCAGUGUUAUCCUUAUUUUUGACUGAAGGUGUGAAUGGUGCAUAUAGAACAAGUUAUUAUAGAUACAGGUAUCGUUAUACCUUUUCUAGCAGCGGCAGCAGCAGCGAAGGAGAUCAAGAAACUGGGAUGAUUGUUGGACUCAUACUACUUAGUCUGUUGGUGAUAGGGGGAAUCAUUCUACUUAUAUGGUGCUGUAAAAAUUCCAAAAUAAAAUCUGGUCGUGUAAUGUCUACUAAUACAACCACUGUGUCUUAUAUUAACCCACCACAGCAUACUACAGUAUCACAUGUCAAUCAACCUAAAUCACCUCACCUAUUCGAUAAUUCAACUAGUUAUCAACCAGCAAUGUACCCGCCUCCGCCGUAUUCAGCUUAUCCGCCGCCUUCUAGCGAAACCUAUCCACCUGUGUAUGGCGCAGCUUAUCCACGUACCCCUGAUCCACAAAACCAGAAGGAGUGAACCAUGUUGCUAUUUGAAAGGCUAAUUCAGUGAUAACAUAUUGGGCUGGGGACCAAAUUUAUUUAUUUCUUCGGCCAUGUUAUAUUUAGAGCACGGCUUUCGUGAGUUAACAGGUUUAACAACAGGGGCCGUAGACCGAGGUGUUAAACCUGUUAACGAAUGAAGCGUGCUAUAAAUGACUUGUAACAUUGACACCUGCUCAACAUGCUUGUUGUUAUUGCACAGAAAACCCACCCCACUUCUCUAUAUGAUUUCUACUAAAAGUAGCGUAAAGCAAAAGUGUACAAAAACACUGAAAAUGUCUAGUUAUUGCACGGUUAAGCUCCAGCCAUUCUACUAGAGGGAAAACAAUCUGCUUAUUCAACGAAGAGAACAAAGGAAGAU